AGGGACUCGGUUUCCUUCCAAUUCCAAAAACCAAUGUGGGAAGUGCUUACUGGCAGAAGAGACGGCAAUGUUUCAUUAGCUUCCGAUGUCUUUUCUAACAUUCCUUCGCCCUUCUUCAACUUCUCCUCCCUUUUGCAAAAUUUCAACAGCAAGGGUCUCAACGUCCAUGAUCUAGUUGUACUAUCAGGUGGACACACCAUUGGCGUAGGCCACUGCAAUCUCUUCAGCAACAGGCUCUACAAUUUCACAGGCAAAGGCGACCAAGACCCUUCCCUGAACUCCACCUACGCAGCUUUUUUGAAGACCAAAUGUCAAAGUCUUAGUGACACGACCACCACUGUAGAGAUGGAUCCUGGCAGCUCUUUAAACUUCGAUAGUCAUUACUUUGUUAUCCUUAACCAGCACAAGGGUCUAUUCCAAUCCGAUGCAGCCCUUCUAACAAACAAGAUCGCAAGCAAUAUUGCUGGAGAGUUGGUUGACUCGCGAGUUUUCUUCACAGAGUUUGCAGAGUCAAUGAAGAGGUUGGGAGCCAUUCAGGUUCUCACUGGCACUGAAGGGGAGAUAAGGAACAAGUGCAGUGUGGUCAAUUCCUGAGAGAUUCCUUCUGCCUGCCUGCGUUUUCUUCAAUUUUAUAUAUAAUUCAAAAUGUCGUUAUAUUUUU
rnacentral:misc_RNA from 1 species